rnacentral:sRNA from 1 species
AAAAAAAAUUCCAUACUUAUCUCCAGAUGUUUUAGAAUCCAAUGAGCUCAAGUCGGACUCCUUUGUUUCAAAAACCACACAACCCUUCCUCUACUCAUUAAAUCCACACCGUUCAAACUACCUAUGCAUAGACGUGGCAAACGAUCAAUGGACAAAACACAGAUUAUCCAAUGGACCCGCACGUACACUCAUGAUUUUCCCCUCCCGAAUAAAGUUGGUUUAUCUUAUACAGUAACUGACUGAUACAAAAUUCACAUAAAAAAAA